UUCGCCCUUACGGCUCAGUAACACGUGGACAACCUACCCUUUAGGACGGGGAUAAACCCGGGAAACUGGGUAUAAUACCCGAUAGUCCUCGGCCGCUGGAAAUGCCCCGAGGACAAAAGCUCCGGCGCCUAAGGAUGGGUCUGCGGCCCAUCAGGUAGUAGUGGGUGUAGCGUACCUACUAGCCUACGACGGGUACGGGUUGUGAGAGCAAGAGCCCGGAGAUGGAUUCUGAGACACGAAUCAGGCCCUACGGGGUGCAGCAGGCGCGAAAACUUUACAAUGCUGGAAACAGCGAUAAGGGGACCUCGAGUGCCAGGUUACAAAUCUGGCUGUCGUGAUGCCUAAAAAGCAUUGCAUAGCAAGGGCCGGGCAAGACCGGUGCCAGCCGCCGCGGUAACACCGGCGGCUCGAGUGGUAACCGUUAUUAUUGGGUCUAAAGGGACUGUAGCCGGCCGGAUAAGUCUCUUGGGAAAUCUGGCAGCUUAACUGUCAGGCUUUCAGGAGAUACUGUCUGGCUCGAGGCCGGGAGAGGUGAGAGGUACUUCAGGGGUAGGGGUGAAAUCUUGUAAUCCUUGAAGGACCACCAGUGGCGAAGGCGUCUCACCAGAACGGACCUGACGGCAAGGGACGAAAGCUAGGGGCACGAACCGGAUUAGAUACCCGGGUAGUCCUAGCCGUAAAACGAUACUCGCUAGGUGUCG
rnacentral:rRNA from 1 species